rnacentral:rRNA from 1 species
UUAGUGGCGGACGGGUGAGUAACGCGUGGAUAACCUGCCGUAUACAGGGGGAUAACGCUUAGAAAUAGGUGCUAAUACCGCAUAAGCGCACGGUUCCGCAUGGAACAGUGUGAAAAACUCCGGUGGUAUACGAUGGAUCCGCGUCUGAUUAGCCAGUUGGCGGGGUAACGGCCCACCAAAGCGACGAUCAGUAGCCGGCCUGAGAGGGUGAACGGCCACAUUGGGACUGAGACACGGCCCAAACUCCUACGGAAGGCAGCAG